CAGUAGCCGCGGUAAUACGAAGGGGGCUAGCGUUACUCGGAAUUACUGGGCGUAAAGGGCGCGUAGGCGGCACGAUUAGUCAGGCGUGAAAUUCCUGGGCUCAACCUGGGGACUGCGCUUGAUACGGUCGAGCUAGAGGAUGGAAGAGGGUUGUGGAAUUCCCAGUGUAGAGGUGAAAUUCGUAGAUAUUGGGAAGAACACCGGUGGCGAAGGCGGCAACCUGGUCCAUUACUGACGCUGAGGCGCGACAGCGUAGGGAGCGAACAGGAUUAGAUACCCGUGUAGUCCCUGUCUCUUAUAC
rnacentral:rRNA from 1 species